rnacentral:rRNA from 1 species
GCAGCAGCCGCGGGAAUACGUAGGGUGCAAGCGUUAAUCGGAAUUACUGGGCGUAAAGCGUGCGCAGGCGGUUUGUUAAGACAGAUGUGAAAUCCCCGGGCUCAACCUGGGAACUGCAUUUGUGACUGGCAAGCUGGAGUGUGGCAGAGGGUGGUGUAAUUCCGCGUGUAGCAGUGAAAUGCGUAGAUAUGCGGAGGAACACCGAUGGCGAAGGCAGCCCCCUGGGCCAACACUGACGCUCAUGCACGAAAGCGUGGGGAGCAAACAGGAUUAGAUACCCGCGUAGUCCCUGUCUCUUAUAC